rnacentral:rRNA from 1 species
GAUGAACGCUGGCGGCGUGCUUAACACAUGCAAGUCGAACGAUGAAGCCCAGCUUGCUGGGUGGAUUAGUGGCGAACGGGUGAGUAACACGUGAGUAACCUGCCCUUAACUCUGGGAUAAGCCUGGGAAACUGGGUCUAAUACCGGAUAGGAGCGCCUACCGCAUGGUGGGUGUUGGAAAGAUUUAUCGGUUUUGGAUGGACUCGCGGCCUAUCAGCUCGUUGGUGAGGUAAUGGCUCACCAAGGCGACGACGGGUAGCCGGCCUGAGAGGGUGACCGGCCACACUGGGACUGAGACACGGCCCAGACUCCUACGGGAGGCAGCAGUGGGGAAUAUUGCACAAUGGGCGAAAGCCUGAUGCAGCGACGCCGCGUGAGGGAUGACGGCCUUCGGGUUGUAAACCUCUUUCAGUAGGGAAGAAGCGAAAGUGACGGUACCUGCAGAAGAAGCACCGGCUAACUACGUG